rnacentral:rRNA from 1 species
GACGAACGCUGGCGGCGUGCUUAACACAUGCAAGUCGAACGGAAAGGCCCUGCUUUUGUGGGGUGCUCGAGUGGCGAACGGGUGAGUAACACGUGAGUAACCUGCCCUUGACUUUGGGAUAACUUCAGGAAACUGGGGCUAAUACCGGAUAGGAGCUCCUGCUGCAUGGUGGGGGUUGGAAAGUUUCGGCGGUUGGGGAUGGACUCGCGGCUUAUCAGCUUGUUGGUGGGGUAGUGGCUUACCAAGGCUUUGACGGGUAGCCGGCCUGAGAGGGUGACCGGCCACAUUGGGACUGAGAUACGGCCCAGACUACUACGGGAGGCAGCAGUGGGGAAUAUUGCACAAUGGGCGGAAGCCUGAUGCAGCAACGCCGCGUGCGGGAUGACGGCCUUCGGGUUGUAAACCGCUUUCGCCUGUGACGAAGCGUGAGUGACGGUAAUGGGUAAAGAAGCACCGGCUAACUACG